rnacentral:rRNA from 1 species
AUUGAACGCUGGCGGCAGGCUUAACACAUGCAAGUCGAGCGAGCGGCGGACGGGUGAGUAAUGUCUGGGAAACUGCCUGAUGGAGGGGGAUAACUACUGGAAAGGGUAGCUAAUCCCGCAUACAAUCAGAGAUGCCCAUAUGGGAUUAGCGAGUAGGUGGGGUAAUGGCUAACCUAGGCGACGAUCCCUCGAUGGUCUGAGAGGAUGACCAGCCACACUGGAACUGAUACACGGUCCAGACUCCUACGGGAGGCAGCAGUGGGGAAUAUUGCACAAUGGGCGCAAGCCUGAUGCAGCCAUGCCGCGUGUGUGAAGAAGGCCUUCGGGUUGUAAAGCACUUUCAGCGAGGAGGCGUUACUCGCAGAAGAAGCACCGGCUAACUCCGUGCCAGCAGCCGCGGUAAUAC